ensembl:misc_RNA Y_RNA Y RNA
GGUUGGUCCGAUGGCAGUGGAGUUUCAAACGAUUGUUUCAGUCAGUAACAGUUUCUCCUCUCCCUCUCACUGCCGGUCUUGACUAGCCUUUU